rnacentral:rRNA from 1 species
GCUUAACGCGAAGAACCUUACCAGCCCUUGAUAUGCCGGUCGCGGACAGUGGAGACAUUGUCCUUCAGUUAGGCUGGACCGGACACAGGUGCUGCAUGGCUGUCGUCAGCUCGUGUCGUGAGAUGUUGGGUUAAGUCCCGCAACGAGCGCAACCCUCGCCUCUAGUUGCCAUCAUUCAGUUGGGCACUCUAGAGGGACUGCCGGUGAUAAGCCGAGAGGAAGGUGGGGAUGACGUCAAGUCCUCAUGGCCCUUACGGGCUGGGCUACACACGUGCUACAAUGGCGGUGACAAUGGGCAGCGAGGCAGCGAUGCCGAGCUAAUCUCCAAAAGCCGUCUCAGUUCGGAUUGCACUCUGCAACUCGAGUGCAUGAAGUUGGAAUCGCUAGUAAUCGUGGAUCAGAAUGCCACGGUGGAUACGUUCCCGGGUCUUGUACACACCG